AUAGUUAUGUGUAUAUAACAGAUUAAAGAAUGCUGCUGAUAUUAUUGUCAACCAUAUAUUACAUAUAAAGUAAAACAUAACUAAUGACGCUUUCCAGAGGUGGAAUCUUCUAGUUCUUCCUAUUUGACCCGAAACCGAUCGAUCUAGCCAUGAGCAGGUUGAAGAGAGCUCUAACAGGCCUUGGAGGACCGAGCUCUAAUGUUUUUUUUGUUGGGACCACCAGAUUGAUGAAUUUUAAUAUUAACAUUAGCAAAAGAUGAUAAAACAUUCUUCUUCAAAUCAAAGUGAAAUAAGUAGCUUUCGUUUGCAAGAGUUCUUGGAAAUCAAAACUACCUGAUUUACAAGAAUUCUUUUUUUUCGCUUAAAUAUAGAUUUACACAAUUAACUUAAAAUUCCAGACCUCAAAAACAGAGUGAAGGGUUGUCAAAAAUUUAGCAAUAAACGGGAUGUGUUUGGACUGAAAAAGAUUUUAUAAAGUAUUAUUUAAUGACUUCAAUUCUUUAGAAUGUCAUUCAGGUUAUUUGUGAAUAUAGCAACACAUAAUGUUUACCAAUAGGAUUCAUAUAAACAUGCGAAGAAUAGAGAAGACAAAGCAGCUGCACAGGCUGCCGCCCAAGCUGCUGAAGCCGAAGCUGCUUGUGAUACUGCAACAGCAAUGAAGAAGUCAAAGAAGUGGAAUAUGCCACAGAAGCCUGAUUUAAGAAGUUGCUUGGAUAGGAAUCCCACGUAAAUAAAAAUCAAGUCAGUGUUUGGUUAAGAACCUCAAUUUGAAAAUGCUACAUUUUCUCAUAUCUAGACAAAUUUAGACUUUGAUUUAGUAAAAUAUUGCUACAUAAUCUAAUAACUAGACACAUUUUACAAUACUGCUAUGUUUUGUAGUAGUAUUUUAUUGAAUAUUCUGCUUUAACAGUCAAUAUUAUUGUCAACAAUAUAUAAAAUGAACUAAAACAUAACUAAUACAAGUAAUGAAUCAAGAUAUACAAAAUAAAAUUUGGUUUAUAGAAUAAAUUUGACAUACCUUUGAAUUGAGACUUAGUUUAUUUAUAUACCUUUGAAUUGAGACUUAGUUUAUUUAUGUUUCAAAAGAAUUCAAACUCUAGAGAUAGAUAAAUGUUAGACUUGAUCAAUCGCAAUAAAAAUUAAAGAUUUGGGUAUGUAGGAAAAAGUAAAAUAUAUUUAAUAUGUUAAAGAAGAAUACAACGACAGAUCACACAAAAUCAUUAUUUCAAUCUUCCAUGAUAUGAUAAACAUUAUUCUUCUGACAUAAGAACCAUUCGUUUGCAAGAGUUAUUAGAAAAUCAAAACUACAAAAUUUACAAGAAUUUUUUUUUCUAAUUAGAUAUAGAUCUACACAAUUAACUUUAAAUUUCAGACCUCAAAAAUAAAAAAUAAAAACAUUUUGAUCUAUAAUUCAACUAAUCAAGAUGUCAAAAAUUAGAACUUUUAGAGGAACACAACAAAACUCUAAUCAAAAUUCCACAAUUCAAUAGAUCAAACAUCAGAACUUUAAAAAAAAUGGAAAAAAAGAGGAAAAAUUAACAUUGAAUUAUAUCAAGAAAGAGAUUAAAAAUUAAAAAUCGAGACAUACCUUGUAUUCUUUUAGAAUUAAGAACUUAGAUCUAUUGUGGCUUAAGUUGUCACAAGAUCAUAUCACUAGUCUACGUACUGAGAUAAAAUUGAAUACUAUAGUCAAAGAAAUAAGUUUUUACAUAUAUGUGUUGGAAAUAAUGUGAUAUAUUUCUCAUAUGAGGUUUUGUAGUACCAGCAUUGAAGAUUCUAAUGUAUUCAAAACAUCUAACAAAACUCAUCACAGCUCGUAGCAACAUUUCCACUUCUAUAUACCACACACAAGAAACAUAACCAUGUCAUUGUUCAUUAAAGCAAAUGGAAUGGCCAAAAUUGAAGCCAUCGGUAUAAUCAAUGCAUACUAAAAAAAAAAA